GACGAACGCUGGCGGCGUGCCUAAUACAUGCAAGUAGAACGCUGAAGGAGGAGCUUGCUUCUCUGGAUGAGUUGCGAACGGGUGAGUAACGCGUAGGUAACCUGCCUGGUAGCGGGGGAUAACUAUUGGAAACGAUAGCUAAUACCGCAUAAUAGUAGAUGUUGCAUGACAUUUGCUUAAAAGGUGCAAUUGCAUCACUACCAGAUGGACCUGCGUUGUAUUAGCUAGUUGGUGAGGUAACGGCUCACCAAGGCGACGAUACAUAGCCGACCUGAGAGGGUGAUCGGCCACACUGGGACUGAGACACGGCCCAGACUCCUACGGGAGGCAGCAGUAGGGAAUCUUCGGCAAUGGACGGAAGUCUGACCGAGCAACGCCGCGUGAGUGAAGAAGGGUUUCGGAUCGUAAAGCUCGGUUGUAAGAGAAGAACGAGUGUGAGAGUGGAAAGUUCACACUGUGACGGUAGCUUACCAGAAAGGGACGGCUAACUACGUG
rnacentral:rRNA from 1 species